rnacentral:rRNA from 1 species
ACGGAAGGCAGCAGUGGGGAAUAUUGGACAAUGGGGGAAACCCUGAUCCAGCGACGCCGCGUGAGUGAAGAAGUAUUUCGGUAUGUAAAGCUCUAUCAGCAAGGAAGAAAAUGACGGUACUUGACUAAGAAGCUCCGGCUAAAUACGUGCCAGCAGCCGCGGUAAUACGUAUGGAGCAAGCGUUAUCCGGAUUUACUGGGUGUAAAGGGAGCGUAGACGGCAAAGCAAGUCUGAAGUGAAAUCCCGGGGCUCAACCCCGGAACUGCUUUGGAAACUGUUUAGCUAGAGUGCAGGAGAGGUAAGCGGAAUUCCUAGUGUAGCGGUGAAAUGCGUAGAUAUUAGGAGGAACACCAGUGGCGAAGGCGGCUUACUGGACUGAACUGACGUUGAGGCUCGAAAGCGUGGGGAGCAAACAGGAUUAGAUACCCUGGUA